GGAGGUGUAGCUCAAAGUGGUAGAAUACAUGCUUAGCAUGCACGAUGUCUUGGGUUCAAUCCCCAGUACCUCCU
rnacentral:tRNA from 1 species